rnacentral:rRNA from 1 species
GACAGAGGGUGCAAACGCUGCUCGGAAUUACUGGGCGUAAAGCGCGUGUAGGCGGUUCCGCCAGUCUGGUGUGAAAGCCCGGGGCUCAACCCCGGAAGCGCAUUGGAUACUACGGAGCUUGAGUCCUGAAGAGGAGAGCGGAAUUCCCGGUGUAGCGGUGAAAUGCGCAGAUAUCAGGAGGAACACCGGUGGCGAAGGCGGCGUUCUGGACUGCAACUGACACUGAUGAACGAAAGCCAGGGGAGCAAACGGG